GAGUUUGAUCAUGGCUCAGAACGUACGCUGGCGGCACGCCUAACACAUGCAAGUCGAACGAAGUAGCAAUACUUAGUGGCAGACGGGUGAGUAACAUGUAGGUAUCUGCCCUUUGGCCUGGAAUAACACGAGGAAACUUGUGCUAAUACCGGAUAAGUCUUUACGGAGAAAGCUUUAUGCACCAUUGGAUGAGCCUGCACUUGAUUAGUUUGUUGGUGGGGUAAUGGCCUACCAAGACUGUGAUCAAUAGCUGAUUUGAGAGGAUGAUCAGCCACAUUGGGACUGAGACACGGCCCAAACUCCUACGGGAGGCAGCAGUGGGGAAUCUUGCACAAUGGAGGAAACUCUGAUGCAGCGAUGCCGCGUGAGUGAAGAAGGCCCUUGGGUUGUAAAGCUCUUUCGUCGGGGAAGAAAAUGACUGUACCCGAAUAAGAAGGUCCGGCUAACUUCGUGCCAGCAGCCGCGGUAAUACGAAGGGACCUAGCGUAGUUCGGAAUUACUGGGCUUAAAGAGUUCGUAGGUGGUUGAAAAAGUUAGUGGUGAAAUCCCAGAGCUUAACUCUGGAACUGCCAUUAAAACUUUUCAGCUAGAGUAUGAUAGAGGAAAGCAGAAUUUCUAGUGUAGAGGUGAAAUUCGUAGAUAUUAGAAAGAAUACCAAUUGCGAAGGCAGCUUUCUGGAUCAUUACUGACACUGAGGAACGAAAGCAUGGGUAGCGAAGAGGAUUAGAUACCCUCGUAGUCCAUGCCGUAAACGAUGUGUGUUAGACGUUGGAAAUUUAUUUUCAG
rnacentral:rRNA from 1 species